GAUGAACGCUAGCGGCAGGCCUAAUACAUGCAAGUCGAGGGAGAAUGUUGGAUUCGUCUGACAUGAAACCGGCGCACGGGUGCGUAACACGUAUGCAACCUACCUUUAACUGGGGUAUAGCUCAGAGAAAUCUGAAUAAAUCCCCCAUAAGACUACGACAUGGCAUCAUGAUGUAGUUAAAGCUCCGGCGGUUAAGGAUGGGCAUGCGGUACAUUAGCUGGUUGGUGAGGUAAUGGCUCACCAAGACUACGAUGUAUAGGGGGUGUGAGAGGGAGAUCCCCCACACUGGUAGUGGAACACGGACCAGACUCCUACGGGAGGCAGCAGUAGGGAAUAUUGGUCAAUGGACGAAAGUCUAACCCAGCCAUGCCGCGUGAAGGAUAAAGGCCCUUGGGGUCUUAAACUUUUUUUAUUAGGAAAGAAAAAACGGGAUGCGUCCUUUACUGACGGUACUUAAUGAAUAAGGAUCGGCUAACUUCGUGCCAGCAGCCGCAGUAA
rnacentral:rRNA from 1 species